AGGCACGACCAGACCAGGAAGAGAGCGAGGUGGAAUGCCGCCAUGCUGAGUUGGAGAGGUUUGUAGACUCGUAGAUCUCUAUAAUAGUCUGUGUCAUCUAUCAUACUAUUCGGCCAGCCUGGUCCAUAAUUUUUGGUUGCACAUCCUGAUUGAAUCACCAUUGACUGACUGAAUGAACAGACAGAUGAAGACUUUUCCAUCGUUUGCCAUUCUCUGCUUCCUAGUAUGUUUGUCACAGAGCAAAGGGGAAACAACUACCACAUCGAUAGCUCCAGAAACAAGCACAGAAAUGACCACCAACGCAACCAUUGUGACGUCAACAGAGGCAGACGCCACCACAGAUGACGCGAUGUCUAGCUCUACGACCAUGGAGUUGUCGAUUGCCACAGAAGCAGAAACCACAUCAGACAAUACGGCAACAGAAGAAGCGACAUCAUCUUCCCAGGUUGCAGACACCUCCACAGCAACAGUUGCCCAAGAAGCAUCUUCCACAACAACUUCACAAUGGGGCGAGUGGGGAGCAUGCGAUCAAAACUGUAAAGGCGGUGUAAAAACUAGAACUAGGUCAUGCUCUGACGCCACAGGAGCAAAUCGAGGCCAGGACUGUGGACCCAACUUGCAGGAGACCAUAAAAUGCGAGAAUCUUCCAGCAUGUGUGGUAACGACAGAUCCAUGUGCCAGCGUCAUCAAUCCGUGCCUGACGGACGGAGUGAAUCACGCGUGCCUGGUCAAAAGUGAUGGCUCCUUCCGGUGUCUGUGUCUGUCUGGCUACGUCAACGAUGCCAACAACAAAUACUGUAUCAACGAGAAUGAGUGCACAAGAACCAACAACGACUGUAAGGAUGUCAACACACGUCGACUUAAAGUGGGCGUGGCCAGUUGUAAAGACACGGUGGGAAACUACUCAUGUGUCUGUAGCAGUGGGUUUACGUAUGACAGCAGCGCAAGAACCUGCACAGAUGUUAACGAGUGCAGUAGAACAUCAACGAACAACUGUGACGUCACAGACCGUGCCACCUGUACCAACACACCUGGAAGUUUUACCUGUGCCUGUAAACCCAAAUUUCAGGGAGCAGGAACCGCUGGUACCUGCAAAGAGAUUCGGUUACUGCCUCAUACUGGUCAUACAAAGCUAGCCAAAAGCGAUGGCUUCUCCACCUACUUCUUCCCGAAAUAUGCUGUACCAUUCGGAAGUCAACUGUACCCAUCCUUUUACUUCACGAGGAGUGGUCUUAUGCUGUUUACCACAGUCACUAGUGAAACAGUUGGUAUCGGACAGCGGAAGUCCUUCACGAACCCCGCCAAAUUCACCAUUGAUGCCAGCUUCCAAGAAAAAGCAGCUUUCGCCCCCUGGUGGUCGAAUAUGAUGAUAAGCUCAGGGGCCAGUGCAGACAAUGGAGUUUAUUACAAAGAAUACUCGGCGGAUGUGACGUCAGAAAACACCUUCAUGGUGGACAAGGCCGCAGAGAUUGCUGGGUCUCUCAGCGUUUCCGGAUUUACGCCAAAGUACACAAUCGUGAUCACGUGGUAUAAAAUGGAACAGAAUAAAAGUCCCGCUACUCCUUCCCAGACCGUCACCUUCCAGUUAAUCCUGGUCACAGACUUUCAUCACACGCUGGUCAACGUGGCAUACGAGGACAGGGAGAUGAAGUGGGACGUCCUGAACUCCGUGGGUAGUAACUACCCGGUCAGGAUCGGGCUUCUGAAGCAUGGGGCAACAAGUGUGGAGUACACCUACUCAUACCUUGACCUUCUAAGCAAUGCGGCCAACAAACCGAAAAUAGAGAGAAUCGAUGAAGUGACUAUUACUCAUCUUACAAGUAUCGGCCGUUCCUUCUACCGUCUCUCGGAGAUUUCUCCAAUCUCACAUCCUGGUAUCCAAUGCUUAAACUGGAUAACAUCUGACGACGCUGAUACCAGCAAUCCUGUGGUGACAUCAGAAGUGACGCAAUGUCCUCCCAGCCUGUUGCAGAAGACGGACUCGCUCGUACAGUACACAAAGGCGGAAAUUCCCUCUAGUGUAGAAUGCUAUGGUAAGAGGAGCGCCCUAUGUACAACAUUUACUGAUCCACGCACGAUGCGAUGCUGCUUCGACAAGGCAAACAAAGGGUUGAUUCUGGAUCAUGUGUUGGCCAAUGGCUUCAACACGUACAUGCGACACUCUGGACAAGACCAAGAGAAGGUUCACGAGGCCUACGAAUGGUGCUGUAACGCUAGCAACCGGUACGCCUCAAGAGCUGACGUGUGCCAGAAUUUCCUCAGUCGCCGACCAGUGUGUACAUCCGACGAUUUUAUCGCGAGCGGAGCAGGUGGAGCUCUCGGAGACCCACAACUGACGACCCUAGACGGUUUGUCCUUCACCUUUAACGGGCACGGAGAGUUCAUUCUUCUGAAAGCAUCGGACAUGGAAGUUCAAGGUCGAUUUGCGCCAUUAAUGAAGGAUGGAAAAAAAAGUGCAACCUAUAUCAGUUCAAUCGUCGGAAAGCAGACCGAUUCUGAUAAGGUGGAGAUCCGACUAAAUACCGCAAAAAAUGACGCAGAGAUCUUAAAGAACGGAGUAUCGCCGUCUUCCCUGGAUCUGACUAAUGAUCAGGACUGGAGCAAAGUGUCCGUCAGUAAGAGUACGGACGCCUCGUCCGUCCACACCUGGAAGAUGAUUUUCAGUAAUGGGCUGACGGCAGGCGUUCAACUCAAGAACGAAAUGUUCCAGCUGGUCAUUGAAUCGGCCGCGCUGUACAAGAACAACUUCCAAGGAUUAUUGGGCAACUUUAAUGAUGACCCUGCCGAUGACUUUACAGCUCCCAAUGGAAGUGUGACGCCCUCUACCUCCAACGAGGAGGCCAUCUACAACUAUGGAAAAGCUUGGCAGAACACAGAGGGUACCUCUUUAUUUACUUAUGAUGGAACGGGGGGUGUUAACGAUAAUUGGGGAAGCCAUGUUGAUACAGAUUACCUGCCUGUAUUUUUCAAUCCUGAUUUAACUGUGAUGUUCACCGACACCUCUAAAAGAACAUCAGCAAUCAGUACAUGUAACAACGGGGCAACCACGGACGAUAACCCCACAUUGCGCCGGGAGUGCUACUUUGACUUCAAGGUGACAAACAAUGCAGAUUUAGCGUCGGCGACCUCAGAUACCAAGGCCGCUCUAGAUGAAGCCAAGUCAACGCUUGCGAACUACCCUCCGGAAAUCACCAACGGGAAUGUGACUAUAGAGGUGUCGGCUGGGGCGACAUACACACUACAGCUAACGGCUACCGACAAAAACGGAGACACCAUCUUCUUCCUGAUAAACGAUGACGCCCCUUCUGGUCUCGUUGUCAACAACGGCACUAGCAUGUUAACAUGGACAAACAUCGCUGACCUUGAAACGGCCAAGAUCCAGGUCACUGUGUCAGACGGGAAGGCGCAGUCUCUAUGGACGCCUAAGAUUGAAUAUUGUAAAUGCCAGAACGGCGGGGGCUGUGACUUCAGUGUGAGUAGCAGUGACCAGUUCCUGCUGGUCCCCUGCGUCUGUGUAACCGGAUAUACUGGGCCCUUCUGUGAGAGGGACGAGGAUGGGUGCGCCGACAACCCGUGCUGGCCCGGGGUGGACUGCACGGACGUCAUGGCACGUGAUCUCAGCACCACCCCCUCGGGCUUCAAGUGCGGAUCGUGUCCGACUCAUUUAGAGGGGGAUGGGAUCUCCUGUACAGACAAGGACGAGUGUGUUAAGAACUCUCCCCCUCCAUGUUCUCAUUACUGCACCAACAUAGAAUUCGGAUUCACUUGUUCUUGUGCCGAGGGAUACGUGCUGGGGGCGGACGGCAAAACGUGCACAGAUAAAGACGAGUGUACAACUAACGCAGACAAGUGUAAUGACGUCACGACCACCUGUCUGAACAACGUGGGGGGAUACUCUUGUCCCUGCAAGACCGGCUACCAACGGGAGACAACUUACACCUGUACAGAUGUUGACGAAUGUACCGGCUCCUCUAAUCCAUGCCCAGCCAAUUCUCGCUGCCAAAACUCGGUCGGAAGUUAUGAUUGUGUUUGUAACUAUGGUUACAGCAAAAAUACGCAAUCAAACACGUGUGAGGAAAUAAAUGAGUGCGCUGGUACCAACAACUGUGCCCAGAGAUGCGUGGACGGGAUCGGAACGUACACAUGUGCUUGCAAUACUGGAUACAAAUUGAACACAAAAGACCUUGUCAGCUGCCUACCGGAAAAUGAAUGCUCAACCGAGGAGAAGAAUACUUGCGAUGGCGGAAGUGAAACUGCGUCAUGCGCAGUGUCUUAUGGUCAGGUGUAUUGUGGUUGUCCGUCUGGUUACGCCUUAAACGCCUCAAAAUACUGUAUAGACAUUGAUGAGUGUGCUACUAACGUUGACACUUGUGUAGACUCUAGCAGCACGUGUGUUAACACUCCUGGGGCGUUCCGAUGUGAUUGUAAGACCGGAUUUAACAAACUCAGCGAUUUUAUAUGUGCAGACAAAGAUGAAUGCACAUUAAAUACAGACACCUGUGUGGCACCUGCCACGUGUCAGAAUAAUGUUGGCAGCUUCACAUGUUCUUGUCCCGUGGGGUACACUAAAGUGAGUGAUGGCAACAGCUGCACAGAUAUCAACGAGUGUGCGUCUGUGGCCACCCACAGCUGUGACAAAGAGCACGGAGAUUGUGAAAACAACGACGGAUCUUACAAGUGCACUUGUGACAGAGGAUUUACUGGCGAUGGGUAUACAUGUGCCGAUAUGAAUGAGUGUGCACCUGGCGGCACCAAUGGGUGUGAACAGACGUGCAUCAACAAUAUCGGUAGUUACACGUGCUCUUGCUUCAGGGGAUAUACACUGGACGCUGACGGGAAACGGUGUAACGAUAUUGACGAAUGCUUAGAAUCGGCUGCAAAUGGUUGCUAUGAGAACAGUCAUUGCACCAAUGCAAUUGGCGGAUAUACUUGUUCCUGUCCAACAAAUUUCACAUUAAAGGGGGACGGUAAAACAUGUGAAUCCAUAUUUCAGUGUGCCAGCAACCAUGGCUGCAGUCACACCUGUGGUAAGAUAAGCGAUGUGGAUACUUGUUCUUGUCCUGCUGGGUAUGGACUUGAUGGAACUAACAAAAACUGUGUGGACAUUGAUGAAUGCAGCAAUGCCACACUACACCGCUGUAAGGCUGCCAACAAUGUGUCGUGUAGUAAUACAGUGGGGUCCUAUUUCUGUAACUGUGUCAGCAGCCAGUACGUUAAAUCCCAGGACACCGUCUGUGUGGAUGCAGACGAGUGUACGCUGGGGACCGCUAACUGUCCCUCUAACUCCCUGUGUGUCAAUCGGGACCAGGGCUUUGACUGUGACUGUGUCAGUGGGUACACUAAGGUCGGCGAUACCUGUCAAGAUACUAAUGAGUGUGAUGGUUCCAACGAUUGCAAUUCCGCGCUAGCAACGUGUACUAACACCCCCGGGGCUUACAAAUGUGCAUGUAAAGCCGGUUAUACGGGGGACGGUAUAACCUGCCUAGAUGUUGACGAGUGCUCAGAGAACACACAUAACUGUGAUAGUCGGCAGGAGAGGCGGAACUGUACGAACACCGAGGGCUCCUUCACCUGUGGGUGUCUAAAGGGCUACACCCUGGCCUCAGACGAUCGAACCUGUAACGAUGUUGAUGAAUGUUCAACAUCCAACCAUGAAUGUAAACAUAUUUGCGUAAAUAAAAAUGGAGGGUACGAUUGUUCCUGUCAACUUGGAUACAGACUGGAAGCCGAUCAAAGAACCUGCACAGUGGAGGCAAAUUGUGAUGACACUAAAACGGCGACAUGCCAAACAAAAAAGUGCGCCAAAUUGAACGGCACAGACACGUGUUCCUGUGAUCCGGGCUACAAACUGUCGUCUGAUGGAGUGUCCUGUUCAGAUAUAAACGAGUGUACCAAUUCCCCCUGUCACCCAACCAACAGUGCCUGCCAGAACACCGUGGGAUCCUACACAUGCUCCUGUACCAACGGUUACAUUCUUGGGCCCAGCAACGUGUGUGUUGAUCGUGACGGCGGCUUGUCCGAUUGGUCGGCAUGGGGCACCUGCUCGCAGACCUGUGGGUCAGGGACACAGACAAGGACGCGCGCAUGUAACAACCCCACGCGGGAGGGGUCGGGGAAGGAUUGUACAGGGUCACUGUCAGAGUCUCAAGCCUGUAACACCAACCUCUGUCCUCGAUGUAAAAAUUCCAGUGUCUACGGCAGUAACUGUGACACUCCAUGUCCCACCAACUGUAAAGACAACACGUGUCACAUACAGAACGGAACGUGUAUCACGUGUAAACCUGGGUGGACUGGGACAUAUUGUAAUACAAAUUGUAGAGAAGGAUGGUAUGGUAUCAACUGUACUCAGCACUGUGUUGGACAAUGCAAAGACGGUGUUACCUGCAAUCACGUGACUGGUCAGUGUGACGAAGGAUGCGAUGCAGGAUGGGGAGAUGUUUUGUGUGAUAAAGGUAAUACUUGUUAUAAUAAUUAA
rnacentral:sRNA from 1 species